rnacentral:rRNA from 1 species
CUACGGGUCGCAGCAGUGGGGAAUAUUGCACAAUGGGGGAAACCCUGAUGCAGCGACGCCGCGUGAAGGAAGAAGUAUUUCGGUAUGUAAACUUCUAUCAGCAGGGAAGAAAAUGACGGUACCUGACUAAGAAGCCCCGGCUAACUACGUGCCAGCAGCCGCGGUAAUACGUAGGGGGCAAGCGUUAUCCGGAUUUACUGGGUGUAAAGGGAGCGUAGGCGGCAUGGUAAGUCUGGUGUGAAAGGCAGGGGCUCAACCCCUGGACUGCAUUGGAAACUAUCAAGCUAGAGUGCCGGAGAGGUAAGUGGAAUUCCUAGUGUAGCGGUGAAAUGCGUAGAUAUUAGGAGGAACACCAGUGGCGAAGGCGGCUUACUGGACGGUAACUGACGCUGAGGCUCGAAAGCGUGGGGAGCAAACAGGAUUAGAUACCCCGGUAGUC